CAGUCAUGGUUGCUAGGAGACAUAAAUUAUGCUGAGGAGCACACCUACAUUUCCUCCCUCAUCCGUAUUUCCACGUUAUCUUCUUCGCCGUCUCCUCACCCUCCCACUUCGCCUCACAGCUUGUCCUUCUGUGUAUUACUGGCAGAUCAGCAGAGAAAGAAACACAUGAUUGUACUGAGUCCAAACACCCCCUCCUGGGUUUUUCUCUUUGUCAGUCAGGGAACAGAGAUGGAUCUAUACCACAGCAGCUUUGUUGAUGAGGAUUUCAUUCUGUCUGAAUUCUGCCCCCGUCAAAGGAAUAAAGAUGGACACUCGUAAACGUCAA